rnacentral:misc_RNA from 1 species
AAAGUCGUAACAAGGUUUCCGUAGGUGAACCUGCGGAAGGAUCAUUAAUGAGAGGGUCUCUUCGGAGCCGCCCAUAUCAUAAACACUUGCUUACCCAUCCCUUUGCUUUCCGCACCAGAAAUGGUGCGGAACAUUAUACUAAACUCUGUUUAACUGUAACGUCUGAAUAAACUUUAAUAAGUUAAAACUUUCAACAACGGAUCUCUUGGUUCUC